GUGUAAAUGAUGAAUAAGUUUAUCCAUUCUCUGAGUGUGGCCAACACGGUCUCUCUGCAGCCUCUGUAGGCCGUUUUGGCUUGUGGAGGUUUUUGGCUACCUGUUCAUUCUUUGCUCUUCCAGUGUUCUGCUGGUUCAGUAUCUGAAGGUUCAGGCAGCUAGUGCUAGAGACCAAAGUGGCUCAAACUAAGAAGAGCGGACAUAUCUGAUCAC